AGUGAACGCUGGCGGCGUGCCUAACACAUGCAAGUCGAACGAUGAUGGAGGAGCUUGCUCUUCCUGAUUAGUGGCGCACGGGUGAGUAACGCAUAGGUAAUGUGCCCCUUAGUCUGGGAUAGCCACUGGAAACGGUGAUUAAUACUAGAUACUCCUUCUUGUCUCAAGGCAAGUCGGGAAAGUUUUUCGCUAAGGGAUCAGCCUAUGUCCUAUCAGCUAGUUGGUGAGGUAACGGCUCACCAAGGCUAUGACGGGUAUCUGGUUUGAGAGGAUGAUCAGACACACUGGAACUGAGACACGGUCCAGACUCCUACGGGAGGCAGCAGUGAGGAAUAUUGCACAAUGGAGGAAACUCUGAUGCAGCAACGCCGCGUGGAGGAUGACGCAUUUCGGUGUGUAAACUCCUUUUAAGAGGGAAGAUUAUGACGGUACCUCUUGAAUAAGCACCGGCUAACUCCGUGCCAGCAGCCGCAGUAA
rnacentral:rRNA from 1 species